GUUUUAAAAAAGAGAUAUGAACCUCAAUUUCAAAGAAGCCCAAUCGCAACGCCAUUUAAAAGCCUAUGCUUGCAAUUUGGAAACGAUCUCGGAAGGCAUUUUGUGCAGCAAGUAGUUGCCGCUGGGCUUGGGGAAACAAUGUUCUCUUCCUGUACGUACUUGUUCAAGCAGGUUGGAGCUUGUUGCCAAAUAUUAACAAAGGUUGAGAUCCUUUAUUUGUGUUGAAUUAUACUGAUAUAGGUUGGCGGACAGCAUACACGAUGACUAUCAAUAUAUGGACAGGAGACAUAGUGUAAUUAUGCUGACUAGAAGCUUUCGAAUGCUAUGCCAGCACUUGUAGCCAUGACUGCUGGAAGCUUGAGCUGAGUUUACUAGAGACUGGCAAGACAUGUUGUGGGGAGGACAGAGAUUAGGAUUCCCAGAAAAUGAACUGUCAUCAAAUGCUAGAAGCUGCCCACUGGCUGGAAUUUUUCCUGAUAGAUUAUUAUUGGAGACAUCAAGCUCUACCAGGCUUGACAUGUAUUGAAUUUCACUUGGUACUUGGCCACUAAAGUGAUUUUGAGAAACAUCGAGCAUUCCAAGAUUCUUCAGCGAAGCAAUCCCGCUAGGAAUCUCCCCAUCGAGGCUGUUUCGACUAAAAUCAAUAGAUGUUAGAGAAGUACAACUUGAAAUGGAAGUUGGAAUUGCACCACUGAGAUUGUUGGUGCUAAGAUUGAUUCCUGAAAGGAACUUGAGACGAAAUAUUUCUUCAGAAAUUUUACCAUAAAAUCUGUUCCCGUCAAGCAGUAAGUUCUUCAAGUUCAGAAAGUUAUCAAAGGCUGGAGGGAUUCUUCCUGUAAUUCCAUUUCUAGACAGAUCUAGUCGUUCAAGUGCAUUGCCGGACAUAUUUGAUGGAAGCUCACCGGAGAAAUUGUUAUUAGUCAACUCGAUAAUGGUUAAUGCAGGCAUGUUGAAGAUUCCAGCAGGGAUUGUUCCGUUGAGUGUGUUAUUCAUUAACCGGAUUUUGGUCAAGGACUUGCAGUAACCUAGCUCCUCAGGAAUUGGUCCAGAGAAGAAAUUAUUCAUGAGAAUAAAUUCAGAAAGCUUCCCUCCUUUGCACAAAUCCUGAGGAAUCGAUCCUGUGAGGCAAUUGGAAGAAGCAUCGAGAUGUGUAACCUUCUCAUUUCUGCCGAGAUUCGCAGGGAGCUCAGAUGUGAAGUUGUUUCCCCAUAUAUGAAGCACCUGGAGAUUUGGCAGAUCGCCAAUGAACUGAGGUAUUGGACCAGACAGAUUGUUUUUGAACAAAUGGAUUAACGUCACAUUCUCUAACUUGGAGAAGCUCCCCGGUAUCUCUCCGCUGAGUUGGUUCACUGAGAGAUCAAGAUGCUCCAAGCUAGCUAGACCAGAAAGCUCAUGUGGGAUAGCCCCCAAAAGGGAAUUCAUUUGGAGAUACAGCCGCCGUAAAUGCUUUAAGUGGCCUAAACUCGCGGGAAUUUCACCAGAGAGGUUACAGCUUGCUAUAUCAAGAACUUCAAGGGAAGUCAAUGAUCCAAACUCAGGUGGAAUACCUCCUUCAUAAGAGUUGAAAUAGCCAAGGUACAUAUAUUUCAGGCGCUUCAAAUAUGCCAAGCUUGCUGGAAUCUUGCCAGAGAGUUCAUUACCACCGCAAGCAAAAUACUCCAAGCUCUGAAUCUUCGAGUAGGAUUCAGGUAUUCUCCCAAAAAAGAAGUUCCCACCCAGAUGAAGAUGCUUGAGAUUCUUGAGGUUCACGAGGCCAGUUGGCAGUAGACCUGAGAAGUUGUUGUUGUAGAUGUCAAGGACCUCAAGUUGAGUCAUGCCGAGAGUUAUCUCUCCAGGGAAGUUGCCCAUAAACAUAUUAUUAGAAAUGUUGAGAAUCUUUAGAGACGUGAGAUUGGCCAUCUCCGCAGGAAUUCUUCCGGUGAGAUUAUUAGCGGCCAAUAUGAGAUUCUCUACCUUGUUCAAGAGCCCAAUCUCAGGUGGAACUGAACCAGAGAGAUUGUGAAAAGACAUAUUGAGAGACACCACUCUCUUAUCCUCAUCGCAUGCAACUCCAGAGAAAAAGCAAUGAGGAGAGGUUGAUUCCCCUGAAGGAUCCCAGUCCUUAAGCCCGGAGUCCCAUGUACUUGUCAUGGAGGAUUUCAGCUUGAGCAGAACUUCAAGAUCGCUAGUGUAAGCAGAGCUGAUUGCAAAUACAAGAAGAACCAGAAGAAGCUGCAGCGAAUUUCUCAUUUCUUGUUCUCACUCAAUGGCGUUACUUUUAUUUUUUUUUUUUUAUCAAGA
rnacentral:misc_RNA from 1 species